AGAGAUUCCGUCACCACCAAAAGAGUUAAACACAGGGACACAUAUGAAGUCUCGGAGCCGGGUGUUGGUUCCGGUAGCGAUCGAGGGAAGUUAGUACCGAAGUCCGGGAUGGAAGAUGGCGAGAAAAGCUGUGUGUAUUUCUGCGGUGCCCGUACCGCAAACCGACACAGGUAGGUAGGAAGAAGAUUCUAAGGCCAACGGGAGAAGGGUUGUUAAGGAACUCGGCAAAUUGACCCCGUAACUUCGGGAGAAGGGGUGCUGCAGCAAUGCAGCCGCAGAGAAUCGGCCCAAGCAACUGUUUACCAAAAACACAGGUUUGUGCUAAAUCGAAAGAUGACGUAUACGAGCUGACGCCUGCCCGGUGCUGGAAGGUUAAGAGGAGAUGUGCAAGCAUUGAAUCGAAGCCCCAGUGAACGGCGGCCGUAACAAUAACGGUCCUAAGGUAGCGAAAUUCCUUGUCAGGUAAGUUCUGACCCGCAUGAAAGGCGUAAUGAUUUGGGCACUGUCUCAACAGCCCGCCCGGCGAAAUUGUAGUACCGGUGAAGAUGCCGGUUACCCGCGACAAGACGGAAAGACCCGAUGGAGCUUUACUGUAGCCUAAUAUUGGGUUUCGAUGUUGCAUGCACAGGAUAGAUGGGACACUGGGAAGCAGGUGCUUUGGCGCUUGUGGAGUGGCCGUUGGGAUACCAUCCUUGCGAUAUUGGAAUUCUAACCUGCGCCUUUGAAUCAAGGCGGGGGACAUUGUUAGGUGGGCAGUUUGACUGGGGCGGUCGCCUCCUAAAGAGUAACGGAGGCGUUCAAAGGUUCGCUCAGCUUGAACGGAAAUCAAGCAAAAGAGUGCAAACGCAGAAGCGAGCCUAACUGCGAGACUGACGGGUCGAGCAGUAACGAAAGUUGGAGUUAGUGAUCCGGUGGUAUGUGAGUGGAAAUGCCAUCGCUCAACGGAUAAAAGUUACCCUGGGAUAACAGGCUGACCUCCCCCAAGAGUCCACAUCGACGGGGAGGUUUGGCACCUCGAUGUCGGCUCAUCGCAUCCUGGGGCUGUAUUCGGUCCCAAGGGUUUGGCUGUUCGCCAAUUAAAGCGGUACGCGAGCUGGGUUCAGAACGUCGUGAGACAGUUCGGUCCCUAUCUGUCGUGGGCGCAGGAUAUUUGAUGGGAGCUGUUCCUAGUACGAGAGGACCGGAGCGGACGUACCUCUGGCGCACCAGUUGUUCUGCCAAGAGCAUAGCUGGGCAACUAUGUACGGAUCGGAUAAACGCUGAAAGCAUCUAAGCGUGAAGCCGACCCAAAGAUAAGAUAUCCCAUUGUUUCAAGCAAGUAAGACCCCUUGAAGACUACAAGGUUGAUAGGCACGAUGUGUAAGUGGAGCGAUCCAUUCAGCAAGCGUGUACUAAUAGGUCGAGGGCUUGACCAG
rnacentral:rRNA from 1 species